UACGUAGGGUGCAAGCGUUAUUCGGAAUUACUGGGCGUAAAGCGUACGUAGGCGGCUUUGCAAGACAGGUGUGAAAUCCCCGGGCCUAACCUGGGAACUGCAUUUGUGACUGCAUGGCUAGAGUUUGUCAGAGGGGGGUGGAAUUCCACGUGUAGCAGUGAAAUGCGUAGAUAUGUGGAGGAACACCGAUGGCGAAGGCAGCCCCCUGGGAUGUGACUGACGCUCAUGUACGAAAGCGUGGGGAGCAAACAGG
rnacentral:rRNA from 1 species